CGUCUGACGGAUUUGCUUUGGGAAAUUUAUAAAAUUUUCUUUUUGUUGAAAUGAAUGAAACAUUUGACACCGGACUUUCAGUAAACAAUUCAACAAGUGAUUUGUUAGCAGUAAACCUCAAUUAUACAUGCAGAUUACAACUAUUUGUUUCCUUACACAAGACAUUUAUUAUAAUUCAAUAUAAAAAUAAGAAGAUAUGAUUGCCAAUAAGACUACUCUCCACCAGAGAUCAAAUGAAACAGAAGUUUUCAACUAUAGGUCACCUUACAGCCUUAAACAUAUUUUAGCAAAUCCAUUUCAUAUAUGAAAAAAAUUCUAUUGGCCUGAUUAUGCACAAAACAAAUAACAGAGAAACAAAUAAGCGAAUAUAAAGAAUAAAUAGAUAUUUGCGAUUGAAAAUGAUGUCCAUGCAAACGAUUAUGUUUUUUUUUCUGUUUUUUUUUUUUUGGGGGGGGGGAUCAUAUGGCAUCUGUUUGAAAUUAAUCAGUUAGUUGUCAGUAAUGAUUUUGUUUCACAUUGGUAGCGCAAAAGGGGGAUGGUUAAUUUUUUACUACAACUGAAUCAAAUGAAGAAUAGCAUUACUUUUUUUUUUCAGUAAACUGAUAUGGCGGAACUGUGGUGGAAAAAUUUUGUUUUGCAGUCGGGUCCUUCACACGGAAUCAUCUUUUCUAUUGAACAUGUUUCAGAUUUACAAAAGCAAUAAAACUCUUCAAUUUCUUCUCCGAUAAUUUUUUCAAAUUCU
rnacentral:lncRNA from 1 species